UGCAGUCGAGCGCCCCGCAAGGGGAGCGGCAGACGGGUGAGUAACGCGUGGGAAUGAACCCUUUUCUACGGAAUAACGCAGGGAAACUUGUGCUAAUACCGUAUAAGCCCUUCGGGGGAAAGAUUUAUCGGGAAAGGAUGAGCCCGCGUUGGAUUAGCUAGUUGGUGGGGUAAAGGCCUACCAAGGCGACGAUCCAUAGCUGGUCUGAGAGGAUGAUCAGCCACAUUGGGACUGAGACACGGCCCAAACUCCUACGGGAGGCAGCAGUGGGGAAUAUUGGACAAUGGGCGCAAGCCUGAUCCAGCCAUGCCGCGUGAGUGAUGAAGGCCCUAGGGUUGUAAAGCUCUUUCACCGGUGAAGAUAAUGACGGUAACCGGAGAAGAAGCCCCGGCUAACUUCGUGCCAGCAGCCGCGGUAAUACGAAGGGGGCUAGCGUUGUUCGGAAUUACUGGGCGUAAAGCGCACGUAGGCGGACAUUUAAGUCAGGGGUGAAAUCCCGGGGCUCAACCCCGGAACUGCCUUUGAUACUGGGUGUCUAGAGUAUGGAAGAGGUGAGUGGAAUUCCGAGUGUAGAGGUGAAAUUCGUAGAUAUUCGGAGGAACACCAGUGGCGAAGGCGGCUCACUGGUCCAUUACUGACGCUGAGGUGCGAAAGCGUGGGGAGCAACAGGAUUAGAUACCCUGGUAGUCCACGCCGUAACGAUGAAUGUUAGCCGUCGGGCAGUUUACUGUUCGGUGGCGCAGCUAACGCAUU
rnacentral:rRNA from 1 species